AACGAACGCUGGCGGCGCGCCUAAUACAUGCAAGUCGAGCGAGAAGACGUAGCAAUACGUUUGUAAAGCGGCGAACGGGUGAGGAAUACAUGGGUAACCUACCCUCGAGUGGGGAAGUAACUAGCCGAAAGGUUAGCUAAUACCGCGUACGCUCCUUGGACUUCGGUUCAGGAGGAAAGACGAUACCGUGGGUAGUCGCGCUCUUGGAUGGGCGUCAUGUCCUAUCAGCUUGUUGGUGAGGUAACGGCUCACCAA
rnacentral:rRNA from 1 species